UACGAAGGGUGCAAGCGUUACUCGGAAUUACUGGGCGUAAAGCGUGCGCAGGCGGUUCUGAAAGUCAGCUGUGAAAGCCCCGGGCUUAACCUGGGAAUUGCGGUUGACACUACAGGGCUAGAAUCUGGCAGAGGGGGGUGGAAUUCCACGUGUAGCAGUGAAAUGCGUAGAGAUGUGGAGGAACACCGAUGGCGAAGGCAGCCCCCUGGGCUGAGAUUGACGCUCAGGCACGAAAGCGUGGGGAGCAAACAGG
rnacentral:rRNA from 1 species